AUUUCUUAUUUGCCCUUAAAUUAAGGGCAAAAGUGGUAUUUUAUUUUUUUUUAACUGUGGUAGAUAUUUGACUCACGUUUAACCUAAGUUAACUUAACUGGUGAUAACUGUAGGGGUAUUUUGGAAUAACAUAGGAACAUAUGAAGGGUAUAUUGGAAAGAAAAAAAAGUAGGGGUAAAUGAGAUAUUUUCGAAGUUUUGAGGGGUAUAUAGGCAAUU
rnacentral:lncRNA from 1 species